rnacentral:rRNA from 1 species
UUUUAUGGAGAGUUUGAUCCUGGCUCAGGAUGAACGCUGGCGGCGUGCCUAAUACAUGCAAGUCGAGCGAACGGACGAGAAGCUUGCUUCUCUGAUGUUAGCGGCGGACGGGUGAGUAACACGUGGAUAACCUACCUAUAAGACUGGGAUAACUUCGGGAAACCGGAGCUAAUACCGGAUAAUAUUUUGAACCGCAUGGUUCAAAAGUGAAAGACGGUCUUGCUGUCACUUAUAGAUGGAUCCGCGCUGCAUUAGCUAGUUGGUAAGGUAACGGCUUACCAAGGCAACGAUGCAUAGCCGACCUGAGAGGGUGAUCGGCCACACUGGAACUGAGACACGGUCCAGACUCCUACGGGAGGCAGCAGUAGGGAAUCUUCCGCAAUGGGCGAAAGCCUGACGGAGCAACGCCGCGUGAGUGAUGAAGGUCUUCGGAUCGUAAAACUCUGUUAUUAGGGAAGAACAUAUGUGUAAGUAACUGUGCACAUCUUGACGGUACCUAAUCAGAAAGCCACGGCUAACUACGUGCCAGCAGCCGCGGUAAUACGUAGGUGGCAAGCGUUAUCCGGAAUUAUUGGGCGUAAAGCGCGCGUAGGCGGUUUUUUAAGUCUGAUG